rnacentral:rRNA from 1 species
UACAGAGGCCUCGAGCGUUAGGCGGAAUCACUGGGCUUAAAGCGUGUGUAGGCGGACUUCUAAGUACCUUGUGAAAUCCCACGGCUCACCCGUGGAACUGCUCGGUAUACUGGUCGUCUUGAGCCUUCUAGGGGCGAGUGGAACAAAUGGUGGAGCGGUGAAAUGCGUAGAUAUCAUUUGGAACGCCAAUGGUGAAAACAACUCGCUGGGGAAGUGCUGACGCUGAGGAGCGAAAGCGUGGGGAGCGAACAGG